AGGGAGUUACUCCAGUCUAUUGGUAGCGGUAGACCUCCUCGGAGAAGAACAGUAGGGGGCAGUGUAUGCUGCUAAAGGUUGAAUGCGAUCCGCCAACCCAAUCUCAAAGAAGAAGAACGUAAUUCGCUAACGCCGUAUUUUCGAAAUGGCAUAUCUCGAGUUCAAGUUUGAGGACGAAAUUACUAAAUAUAUUCGGGAACAAGAAUUGGCAACGUCACUGAAAUUCGUAAUAUUGGGAAAGGACAAAAGUUUUGGACAAAAGGAUGCACAGCCUUUGGCACGGAAAAAACUCAGCUGGGAGAGUAAAAGUAUCCCGUUCAAUGGUGUUCCGUUUCAAGUUGUUGGCACAAAGACGUAUGAAUGCCACCAGGGCAAAGACAGACAGACAAAAGCCAAAGAGAAAUAUGCUGCUGAAAGAGACAAGAAGGAACUUGAAGACCAUGCCUUUGUAAAGAGACGGAAACUGGUACAAAAUACCAAAAAGGUGGACUGCAAGGCUAUAAUAAACAUCGCCCACGUUAUUCGCUUUCCUGAUUUUAAGAUUGAGGAAGGUACAGUGCGCUCUAAAAAGGAGGCCUCCCAAACUCUGAAGGCAGCACUAAGUGAAACACCCAGCUCCGUGAAGGCAGAGGUUGUCUACUGCGUCAGGUUCCCCUCCCUCUCUGAGCACAGCUCACAUGCAGUUGUUGGCGAGGCAGCUCAUGUUAGGGAAGCUGUAGAUGCCAGGCUGAGAGAGAAGAUUGAGCAGCUGACUCUGUCUGGUGUGAGAAAGAUGACUGAAAUGAAGUGUCAUCUGAACACCUUUGUAGUGGAAGAGCUUUUCCAUGGAGAGCAGCCCCCUCCACCUACUCGCAGGCGCUAUUACCCCACUGACAGUGACAUAAGAAAUGUCAUGUUUAAGACCAAGCGGGCCACCGGAGACUCCAACAUUGACCGUCCAUACGAAGGUCCAUCUGGAAGAGGAAAGAAGAGGUCCUCUAGGAAGCUGUUGCGGUUACGGAGGCAAUGUGCAGGAUAUCUUAAAGAGAUCACAGAACUCACUUAUCAUCUCCAAGAGGAACAGUACGUGACUGACCUGUCUUCACAGCUCAGAAGUGUGCUGCUGGAUAUGAAGGCCCAUGUUCCACAGGAUAAAGACCUUCCACUGACCUUUUCUCCAAGGAAGAGAAAAGCUGAGAUGGACAUGGACCUCAUUCCAACCAAGAGUGCAUCACACCCUUUCAUAGAUGGGUUAGAACAGCAUACAGAGGACAUAGUGAGUGUGGAUACCUUGUUGGCAUUGAGCCUAGGUUAGUAGGGCUGAGUGGAUACCUUGUUGGCAUUGAGCCUAGGUUAGUAGGGCUGAGUGGAUACCUUGUUGGCAUUGAGCCUAGGUUAGUAGGGCUGAGUGGAUACCUUGUUGGCAUUGAGCCUAGGUUAGUAGGGCUGCGUGGAUACCUUGUUGGCAUUGACCCUAGGGUAGUAGGGCUGAGUGGAUACCUUGUUGGCAUUGAGCCUAGGGUAGUAGGGCUGAGUGGAUACCUUGUUGGUAUUGAGCCUAGGUUAGUAGGGCUGUGUGGAUACCUUGUUGGUAUUGAGCCUAGGUUAGUAGGGCUGAGUGGAUAUGUUGGUAUUUAGCCUAGGGCUGAUGACUGUGUGGAUACCUUGUUGGCAUUGAGCCUAGGGUCAUAGGGCUGCGUGGAUACCUUGUUUACAUUGAGCCUAUGGUAGUAGGGCUGCGUGGAUACCUUGUUGGCAUUGAGCCUAGGUUAGUAGGGCUGCGUGGAUACCUUGUUGGUAUUUAGCCUAGGGCUGAUGACUGUGUGGGUUCUGCCUCCAAUUGAGUAUAUUUUGGGUAGUGUAACUUUUAUUUCAACUAAUGUUACUGUAACGGAUGUGAAAUGGCUAGCUAGAUUAAAGUUAUACUGUUACAUUAACAACUUCAUUAAAACAUGUUUUCUCAUCUGUACAACAAAUACAUGACUAUAGUACGUCAUUUAGGAGGCAUAUAUAAACACACGGUUCCACUCAUCUGCAGCUACUCUGCACUUUAUUGUAUUCUGGUCUGUCCUGAUGCCUAGUCACUUUACCCUGCACAUUUAUCUCUUUGAUCUGGUACUUCCUGUAUAUAGCUGCACAUUGAUCUGGUACUGGUAAUCCCUGUAUAUAGCUGCGCAUUGAUCUGGUACUGGUAAUCCCUGUAUAUAGCUGCACAUUGAUCUGGUACUGGUAAUCCCUGUAUAUAGUUGCACAUUGAUCUGGUACUGGUAAUCCCUGUAUAUGGUGUUAUUAUUGUGUAUUCUAUUCCUCUUGUUACAAUCCCCAUGUUUUUUUAAAAACUUUGAAUCGUUGUGAAGGGCUGUAAGCAAGAAUUUCACGGUUAAGUCUACACACCUGUUAUAUUCGGCGCAUGUGACAAAUAAAAUUUGUUUUUGAAGUGCCCAAAUAAAGUAACAGGGUUGACCUUAAAAGUGUUGACGUUUAAUCUUAAAUCAGACCAUUUCUAAAUAUGCAUUAAUGACAGUUUCUUUGAAGCUGUGUAUGUUUUACUUGUGGAUUUUUUUUAAACAAAAAUUUAAAAUCAAGAUGUAUCAAUUUGUUUUUAUUUUUAUAAUGGCAUGUACAUAUUGGAGUAAACCUAUUUUGGGUUAAAACAACUAACACUCGAGUAAGGGCCAACAUGAUUAGCUUGCAACCUGAUUGAGUGGUUGAUCUGGUUGAGUGCAUUGUUUUACAACUAAGUAUUCCCUUUCCUUGAAUAAGCAACCUGGUCUCAGAGCAUUUGGUAUUAUUCUGUACGUAAAUCCAAGAUACUCAUUUUACUAUAUGUUUCAUAUGGUAUAUAUUAAUCUGGAGAUGUCCACCCAUUCCGUAUGAUAUCUUACGAAGUACAAUUAAUAUUCUAUUUUACGAAUUUGCAGAAAAUAUGCUAUGUUAUGAAUUCAAGC
ensembl:lncRNA